rnacentral:rRNA from 1 species
AGAUUGAACGCUGGCGGCAUGCCUUACACAUGCAAGUCGAACGGUAACGCGGGGGUAACCCUGGCGACGAGUGGCGAACGGGUGAGUAAUACAUCGGAACGUACCCAGUAGUGGGGGAUAGCUCGGCGAAAGCCGGAUUAAUACCGCAUACGACCUAUGGGUGGAAGCGGGGGAUCGAAAGACCUCGCGCUAUUGGAGCGGCCGAUGUCGGAUUAGCUAGUUGGUGAGGUAAAGGCUCACCAAGGCUACGAUCCGUAGCUGGUCUGAGAGGACGACCAGCCACACUGGGACUGAGACACGGCCCAGACUCCUACGGGAGGCAGCAGUGGGGAAUUUUGGACAAUGGGCGAAAGCCUGAUCCAGCCAUGCCGCGUGUGUGAAGAAGGCCUCGGGUUGUAAGCACUUUGUUCGGACGAAACGUCAAGGCGAAUAAUCUUUGAUAAUGACGGUACCGGAAGAAUAAGCACCGGCUAACUACGUGCCAGCAGCCGCGGU